rnacentral:rRNA from 1 species
UACGUAGGUGGCAAGCGUUGUCCGGAUUUAUUGGGUUUAAAGGGUGCGUAGGCGGUCUUCUAAGUCAGUUGUGAAAUACCUCAGCUUAACUGGAGAGGUGCAAUUGAUACUGGAAGACUUGAGUACUGAUGAGGUAGGCGGAAUGGACGGUGUAGCGGUGAAAUGCUUAGAUAUCGUCCAGAACACCGAUAGCGAAGGCAGCUUACUAAGGAGUAACUGACGCUGAGGCACGAAAGUGUGGGGAUCAAACAGG